CCUACGGGUGGCAGCAGUGAGGAAUAUUGGUCAAUGGGCGCGAGCCUGAACCAGCCAAGUAGCGUGAAGGAUGACUGCCCUACGGGUUGUAAACUUCUUUUAUAAAGGAAUAAAGUGAGGCACGUGUGCCUUUUUGUAUGUACUUUAUGAAUAAGGAUCGGCUAACUCCGUGCCAUCAGCCGCGGUAAUACGGAGGAUCCGAGCGUUAUCCGGAUUUAUUGGGUUUAAAGGGAGCGUAGAUGGGUUGUUAAGUCAGUUGUGAAAGUUUGCGGCUCAACCGUAAAAUUGCAAGUGAUACUGGCAGUCUUGAGUACAGUUGAGGUAGGCGGAAUUCGUGGUGUAGCGGUGAAAUGCUGAGAUAUCACGAAGAACUCCGAUUGCGAAGGCAGCUUACUAAACUGCCACUGACAUUGAUGCUCGAAAGUGUGGGUAUCAAACAGGAUUAGAUACCCUUGUAGUC
rnacentral:rRNA from 1 species